CGAUGUGAUCAUACCAGCACUAAAGCAACGGAUCCCAUCAGAACUUCGAAGUUAAGCGUGCUUGGGUGAGAGUAGUACUAGGAUGGGUGACCUCCUGGGAAGUCCUCGUGUUGUAUUCC
rnacentral:rRNA from 1 species